GACACCACUCGCCGCCCCCCCCCCGUUGCUCGCGCGACGGGAGGUUGCGCGCGGACUCUGCGUGUUCCGGGACGGACGUCCCGAUUUCACGGAACUUCGUGAACCAAACUUCUACUGGGCUUGCUGCACAAAGUUGUUGACGGCGUCCGCUUCGGCGGCGACUUUUGACUCGUUUAUUGCUCCAGGUCUAUCGGUAGGGGUGAUUCCCGUUGCUGCGCCCCCGCCACUUGUUAAAGUUGCCCGGAGGUCCCCCCCAACUACUUUCG
rnacentral:misc_RNA from 1 species